AGAGUUUGAUCCUGGCUCAGAGUGAACGCUGGCGGUAGGCCUAACACAUGCAAGUCGAACGGCAGCACAGGAGAGCUUGCUCUCUGGGUGGCGAGUGGCGGACGGGUGAGGAAUACAUCGGAAUCUACUCUGUCGUGGGGGAUAACGUAGGGAAACUUACGCUAAUACCGCAUACGACCUACGGGUGAAAGCAGGGGAUCUUCGGACCUUGCGCGAUUGAAUGAGCCGAUGUCGGAUUAGCUAGUUGGCGGGGUAAAGGCCCACCAAGGCGACGAUCCGUAGCUGGUCUGAGAGGAUGAUCAGCCACACUGGAACUGAGACACGGUCCAGACUCCUACGGGAGGCAGCAGUGGGGAAUAUUGGACAAUGGGCGCAAGCCUGAUCCAGCCAUACCGCGUGGGUGAAGAAGGCCUUCGGGUUGUAAAGCCCUUUUGUUGGGAAAGAAAUCCAGCUGGCUAAUACCCGGUUGGGAUGACGGUACCCAAAGAAUAAGCACCGGCUAACUUCGUGCCAGCAGCCGCGGUAAUACGAAGGGUGCAAGCGUUACUCGGAAUUACUGGGCGUAAAGCGUGCGUAGGUGGUCGUUUAAGUCCGUUGUGAAAGCCCUGGGCUCAACCUGGGAACUGCAGUGGAUACUGGGCGACUAGAGUGUGGUAGAGGGUAGCGGAAUUCCUGGUGUAGCAGUGAAAUGCGUAGAGAUCAGGAGGAACAUCCAUGGCGAAGGCAGCUACCUGGACCAACACUGACACUGAGGCACGAAAGCGUGGGGAGCAAACAGGAUUACAUACCCUGGUAGUCCACGCCUUAAACGAUGGGUACUAGUUGUCGGGAAGUUUAACUUCUUGGUGACGCAGCUAACGCU
rnacentral:rRNA from 1 species